CGAUGAAGCCUUUCGGGGUGGAUUAGUGGCGAACGGGUGAGUAACACGUGGGCAAUCUGCCCUUCACUCUGGGACAAGCCCUGGAAACGGGGUCUAAUACCGGAUAACACUCUGUCCUGCAUGGGACGGGGUUAAAAGCUCCGGCGGUGAAGGAUGAGCCCGCGGCCUAUCAGCUUGUUGGUGGGGUAAUGGCCUACCAAGGCGACGACGGGUAGCCGGCCUGAGAGGGCGACCGGCCACACUGGGACUGAGACACGGCCCAGACUCCUACGGGAGGCAG
rnacentral:rRNA from 1 species